CAGUAGCCGCGGGAAUACGGAGGAUGCAAGCGUUAUCCGGAAUGAUUGGGCGUAAAGCGUCUGUAGGUGGUUUAUUAAGUCUGCUGUUAAAGCACAGGGCUUAACCCUGUAUAGGCGGUAGAAACUGGUAGGCUUGAGUAUGGUAGGGGUAGAGGGAAUUCCCGAUGUAGUGGUGAAAUGCGUUGAUAUCGGGAAGAACACCAAAGGCGAAAGCACUCUGCUGGGCCAAUACUGACACUAAGAGACGAAAGCUAGGGGAGCAAAUGGGAUUAGAUACCCGAGUAGUCCCUGUCUCUUAUAC
rnacentral:rRNA from 1 species